CAGCCGCCGCGGUAAUACAGAGGGUGCGAGCGUUAAUCGGAUUUACUGGGCGUAAAGCGUGCGUAGGCGGCUUCUUAAGUCGGAUGUGAAAUCCCUGAGCUUAACUUAGGAAUUGCAUUCGAUACUGGGAAGCUAGAGUAUGGGAGAGGAUGGUAGAAUUCCAGGUGUAGCGGUGAAAUGCGUAGAGAUCUGGAGGAAUACCGAUGGCGAAGGCAGCCAUCUGGCCUAAUACUGACGCUGAUGUACGAAAGCAUGGGGAGCAAACAGGAUUAGAUACCCGGGUAGUCCCUGUCUCUUAUAC
rnacentral:rRNA from 1 species